CUUUUUUUCAGUCAUGGGGUGCAGACAGCAGAGAGUGCUUCAGUUUUUGACCUUCGUUUCUUGCCUCUUGGCCUUCACUUCAUCUGCUGCAGGACAGAUCAGACUAGCUGGGUCUGGAUCCACUCGGUGCUCUGGAAGAGUUGAAAUCUAUCACAGUGGCUCCUGGGGAACAGUCUGUGAUGAUCGCUGGGACUUAAGUGAUGCUCAG